CCCUUAGAUGUCCUGGGCCGCACGCGCGCUACACUGAACGGGUCAGCGCGUUUUCCCUUCCCGAGAGGGACGGGUAACCUGCUGAACCCCGUUCGUGGUAGGGAUCGGGGCUUGCAAUUAUUCCCCGUGAACCAGGAAUGCCCAGUAAGUGCAAGUCAUAAGCUUGCGUUGAUUACGUCCCUGCCCUUUGUACACACCGCCCGUCGCUACUACCGAUUGAACGUUUUAGUGAGGUACUCGGACUGAGCCUCAGAAGAUUCACGUCUUUUGUGCUGCUCGGGAAGAUUCCCAAACUUGAGCGUUUAGAGGAAGUAAAAGUCGUAACA
rnacentral:rRNA from 1 species